CCUGGCUCAGGAUGAACGCUAGCUACAGGCUUAACACAUGCAAGUCGAGGGGCAUCAGGAAGAAAGCUUGCUUUCUUUGCUGGCGACCGGCGCACGGGUGAGUAACACGUAUCCAACCUGCCCUUUACUCGGGGAUAGCCUUUCGAAAGAAAGAUUAAUACCCGAUAGCAUAAUGAUUCCGCAUGGUUUCAUUAUUAAAGGAUUCCGGUAAAGGAUGGGGAUGCGUUCCAUUAGGUUGUUGGUGAGGUAACGGCUCACCAAGCCUUCGAUGGAUAGGGGUUCUGAGAGGAAGGUCCCCCACAUUGGAACUGAGACACGGUCCAAACUCCUACGGGAGGCAGCAGUGAGGAAUAUUGGUCAAUGGGCGCUAGCCUGAACCAGCCAAGUAGCGUGAAGGAUGAAGGCUCUAUGGGUCGUAAACUUCUUUUAUAUAAGAAUAAAGUGCAGUAUGUAUACUGUUUUGUAUGUAUUAUAUGAAUAAGGAUCGGCUAACUCCGUGCCAGCAGCCGCGGUAAUACGGAGGAUCCGAGCGUUAUCCGGAUUUAUUGGGUUUAAAGGGAGCGUAGGUGGACUGGUAAGUCAGUUGUGAAAGUUUGCGGCUCAACCGUAAAAUUGCAGUUGAUACUGUCAGUCUUGAGUACAGUAGAGGUGGGCGGAAUUCGGGGUGUAGCGGUGAAAUGCUUAGAUAUCACGAAGAACUCCGAUUGCGAAGGCAGCUCACUGGACUGCAACUGACACUGAUGCUCGAAAGUGUGGGUAUCAAACAGGAUUAGAUACCCUGGUAGUCCACACAGUAAACGAUGAAUACUCGCUGUUUGCGAUAUACAGUAAGCGGCCAAGCGAAAGCAUAAAGUAUUCCACCUGGGGAGUACGCCGGCAACGGUGAAACUCAAAGGAAUUGACGGGGGCCCGCACAAGCGGAGGAACAUGUGGUUUAAUUCGAUGAUACGCGAGGAACCUUACCCGGGCUUAAAUGCCAGUGGAAGGAUGUGGAAACAUGUCAGUGAGCAAUCACCGCUGUGAAGGUGCUGCAUGGUUGUCGUCAGCUCGUGCCGUGAGGUGUCGGCUUAAGUGCCAUAACGAGCGCAACCCUUAUCUUUAGUUACUAACAGGUCAUGCUGAGGACUCUAGAGAGACUGCCGUCGUAAGAUGUGAGGAAGGUGGGGAUGACGUCAAAUCAGCACGGCCCUUACGUCCGGGGCUACACACGUGUUACAAUGGGGGGUACAGAAGGCAGCUAGCGGGUGACCGUAUGCUAAUCCCAAAAUCCUCUCUCAGUUCGGAUCGAAGUCUGCAACCCGACUUCGUGAAGCUGGAUUCGCUAGUAAUCGCGCAUCAGCCACGGCGCGGUGAAUACGUUCCCGGGCCUUGUACACACCGCCC
rnacentral:rRNA from 1 species